GUCAAAAUUUCUUUAUUUAAGUCAAUUUUUAAAACAGAACCCCUGCGUUUUAUCCUCUCCAAAACAGAACCAAAAACCUAGGGAUUUCCUCUCAAACUUCUCCCAUCCAUCUAGCCAAGCAUAACAACAAUUUAGUCAUCCUCAAGAUGGAGAACACCAUGGUAGCUUCGGAAUCGUGAAUUCUUCGGUGUUUCACUUUUCAUAGCAAGACUCCGCCUUGAAGUAAUUUCGAAUUUUGAGUAAUUCUGGUCACAUAAGGAAAUCAUUCCUAAGGCUUUUGAGGUCUUGGAAACAGUAUAUAACUCCAUCGACAAGGUUCGAAUAGACAGAGCGGCGUGCCUCCUCAGUAGGACCCCCGAGAUCAGCGUUUGGUUUCGCACUCCACUUCUUCGGAGUUGCUGACUUUGAGUCCAUAGGUACUAUUACAGAUGUAUAUGUGUGGUUUUGGGCAUGUCGGGGGCUUUGUCCCGCCCUGUUGAGAUUGUCUUACACUCUUAGAGGCUUGCAGACUAGCGGUCAUUGUAUAUAUAUAUUUUUCGU